rnacentral:rRNA from 1 species
GACAGCAGCAGCCGCGGGAAUACGUAGGCGGCAAGCGUUGUCCGGAAUUAUUGGGCGUAAAGCGCGCGCAGGCGGUUUCUUAAGUCUGAUGUGAAAGCCCCCGGCUUAACCGGGGAGGGUCAUUGGAAACUGGGAGACUUAGAGUGCAGAAGAGGAGAGUGGAGUUCCACGUGUAGCGGUGAAAUGCGUAGAGAUGUGGAGGAACACCAGUGGCGAAAGCACUCUGCUGGGCCGACACUGACACUGAGAGACGAAAGCUAGGGGAGCAAAUGGGAUUAGAUACCCGUGUAGUCCCUGUCUCUUAUU